rnacentral:lncRNA from 1 species
AAUAAACCACUCUCUUUAACAAUAGUAUCACCUAAUACUAUACAUAGACGUUUUCUACUUCGUUUUAUUAUGAUUGUGCUUAAAAGCGUUUCGUUUUCUAACAUUGAGCGAACCUGUUUUUGCUCAAGUAAUUAAGCAAGGGCUGUUUUGGCUGCAGAUUCUCUAUUUUUCCAACGCUACAAUCAAAAUGAUUAGUAAAAGGAUAGUAGAUGGCCCUUUCUACAAGCAUUCAAUGCACAAGGUAUAUCAAAUUCCUAACAAUCAAGCGGUGGAAUAGUGCAGAUUCAAUUGACUUUUUAUUUUUCUGUUUCAUUUAUCUCAAUCUUAUUUUUCUCUAAUCUCUCAUACAUUGAUAUUUUGUUAAGAUGAUGAAGUCUUGAAAUUAGAUAUGCAAUUCACAUAUCGUUGAUAUCCAGCAGUGUUGGGCGGAACGCGAAUGAACAUUUUCGUCAAUUACCAAGUACAAGGAAUGUUUUGUUAUUUGAAAAUUUUUUUUAAAUCACUCGCGAUGCGGAAUGCAUGAAAAGCUAGCCCCAUUAAAUUUAGAUAUUCAAACUUUAUAAAUGAUGCGUUUCUAGCUUAUUCUAUCUGUUCUU